rnacentral:rRNA from 1 species
GAUGAACGCUGGCGGCGUGCCUAAUACAUGCAAGUCGAGCGAACAGACGAGGAGCUUGCUCCUCUGACGUUAGCGGCGGACGGGUGAGUAACACGUGGAUAACCUACCUAUAAGACUGGGAUAACUUCGGGAAACCGGAGCUAAUACCGGAUAAUAUAUUGAACCGCAUGGUUCAAUAGUGAAAGACGGUUUUGCUGUCACUUAUAGAUGGAUCCGCGCCGCAUUAGCUAGUUGGUAAGGUAACGGCUUACCAAGGCAACGAUGCGUAGCCGACCUGAGAGGGUGAUCGGCCACACUGGAACUGAGACACGGUCAAGACUCCUACGGGAGGCAGCAGUAGGGAAUCUUCCGCAAUGGGCGAAAGCCUGACGGAGCAACGCCGCGUGAGUGAUGAAGGUCUUCGGAUCGUAAAACUCUGUUAUUAGGAAAGAACAAAUGUGUAAGUAACUAUGCACGUCUUGACGGUACCUAAUCAGAAAGCCACGGCUAACUACGUG